CACAGCAGCAGACGACUGUAGAGUUUAGUAGUUCGUGUCAUACGUUUGUACGGUAUUGUGUUGCGUUUUCUGUGUAAUAUGUGAGUGAUUUGAUGGUGGAGACAGGAAAUCACGGAAAGACACAUAUUGAGUGUGUGGCUUAGGAGGGCAAUCAUGGACUGCAAGGGAACUAGUUGGGUGAAAAAAGAGAAGAGUGAAAUAUAUGCUGAACCAGAAUCCUUGUUUCUUGAAGGUCCGCUAAAGAUUUUAAUGCCUAGUCUCCAUAUAAAGUAAGACCUAGAACUGAAACAGGAGGAUGGCAUUGAGCGUGAUUGUCUUGAAGAUAACUUGGGAAUCUCUCAUGCAAAUGAUUUUAUCAAGGAGGAUCCUGAACUAAAUUUGGAGGUG